GCAGUGUCUCUCAGCUUGCCUUCUGAAACCACAGCAAACUACCCUUACGCAUCUCCUCCGCCACCACCUCACUACUACUACAAGUCACCACCUCCUCCUCCUCCGGUGUACUCUCCGCCACCACCCAAGAUACCUUACAAGUACCCGUCUCCUCCCCCACCAGUACACUAUCCUCCACCACCUUACGAGUACAAGUCUCCCCCUCCUCCUCCCCCAGUUUACAAGUACAAGUCUCCUCCACCUCCACCAAAGCACCCCUACAAGUAUAAGUCUCCUCCCCCACCACCUCCAGUUUACAAGUAUAAGUCCCCUCCACCACCACCACCAUCACCACCCAAGCACCCAUACCAGUACAAGUCUCCACCUCCACCACCCCCAGUUUACAAGUACAAGUCCCCUCCACCACCACCACCAUCACCACCCAAGCACCCAUACAAGUACAAGUCUCCUCCACCACCUCCUCCAGUCUACAAAUACAAGUCUCCUCCUCCUCCCCCUAAGGAGCCUUACAAGUAUAAGUCUCCUCCACCACCUCCUCCAGUUUACAAGUACAAGUCUCCUCCUCCUCCUCCUCCAAAGGAGCCAUACAAGUACAAGUCUCCCCCACCACCCCCUCCAGUCUACAAGUACAAGUCUCCUCCACCACCACCACCCCAUUACGUCUAUUCAUCACCCCCUCCUCCUCACCACUACUAAGCAACGGCUUUGACCGUACUGAGGUAAAAAAAAACAAAGUUUCAUUCAACAAGAUAACAUACAUUUUCUUCUGUAGUUUUUUUUUUGCUUAGUACGUAACACCAUUUUUCAAUAAAUGUUUUUUCAUCUCUUCAAGCUGCAUAAUUAAAUCACAAUUUUUUUG
rnacentral:lncRNA from 1 species